UUCUAUGGUGAUAUUUGGAGUCUUCAUUGUCUGGCUUGUGAUGGAUUUGAUUUGGAUUGUAACCUGAGUAGCAAAUUGUUUUCUAUUGGUGAUCAUCCAGGUAGGGUCCAUCGGUGGUGGUCUGUCUUGGGGAUGUACUUCUAUUGUCUUAGCAUUGAGAGAAAGGCAAUAAGAAAUAACGUAAAUCCCUUGGAGCAGGCUUGUCUACACCCAAAUUCUGCAAGUUAAAAGAACUUUACUGCUAUCACAGGAGAAAAAUAGAAAAAGAAUAACAAAUAAAGACUUUAACAUCAGUAUUUGAUGAGCAUGCCCGUCGUGGCAAAACUAGUGCUGGAAAUAAUCAAGAGAUGGAUUUCGAAAGUUUUCUUGACUUUGUUCUGGCCCUUAGGAACAAAGACACCCCAGAAGGAUUUACAUAUUUGUUUUUUCUGCUGUCUCGAUCAUAAUGGUAGAGGAUUCCUCACAAUGGCAGAUAUUCAUUCUUUUUUCAGGGUUGUACAUCAGAAAUGGAUCGAAGGGGGCAACUAUGAAUUGUGUAUUGAGGUUGUUCAGAAUGGAAUUUAGGAUAUGGUAAAGCCAGUUGAUCAGUUGAAAAUUACACUAGCUUGACCUCCUAACUUGUAAACAGUAAGACUUAGGUUAGAAU